rnacentral:rRNA from 1 species
GACGAACGCUGGCGGCGUGCUUAACACAUGCAAGUCGAACGGAAAGGCCCUGCUUUUGUGGGGUGCUCGAGUGGCGAACGGGUGAGUAACACGUGAGUAACCUGCCCUUGAAUUUGGGAUAACUUCAGGAAACUGGGGCUAAUACAGGAUAGGAGCUCCUGCUGCAUGGUGGGGGUUGGAAAGUUUCGGCGGUGGGGGAUGGACUCGCGGGUUAUCAGCUUGUUGGUGGGGUAGUGGCUUACCAAGGCUUUGACGGGUAGCCGGCCUGAGAGGGUGACCGGCCACAUUGGGACUGAGAUACGGCCCAGACUCCUACGGGAGGCAGCAGUGGGGAAUAUUGCACAAUGGGCGGAAGCCUGAUGCAGCAACGCCGCGUGCGGGAUGACGGCCUUCGGGUUGUAAACCGCUUUCGCCUGUGACGAAGCGUGAGUGACGGUAAUGGGUAAAGAAGCACCGGCUAACUACGUG